rnacentral:rRNA from 1 species
AACCUCCGCAAUGUGAGAAAUCGCGACGGGGGGAUCCCAAGUGCCAUUCUUAACGGGAUGGCUUUUCAUUAGUGUAAAGAGCUUUUGGAAUAAGGGCUGGGCAAGACCGGUGCCAGCCGCCACGGUAACACCGGCAGCUCUAGUGGUAGCAGUUUUUAUUGGGCCUAAAGUGUCCGUAGCCGGUUUAAUAAGUCUCUGGUGAAAUCCUGUAGCUUAACUGUGGGAAUUGCUGGAGAUACUAUUAGACUUGAGACCGGGAGAGGUUAGAGGUACUCCCAGGGUAGAGGUGAAAUUCUGUAAUCCUGGGAGGACCGCCUGUUGCGAAGGCGUCUAACUGGAACGGUUCUGACGGUGAGGGACGAAAGUUAGGGGCGCGAACCGGAUUAGAUACCCGGGUAGUCCUAACUGUAAACGAUGCGGACUUGGUGUUGGGGUGGCUUUGAGCUGCUCCAGUGCCGAAGGGAAGCUGUUAAGUCCGCCGCCUGGGGACUACGGUACGGUCGAACGAACG